rnacentral:rRNA from 1 species
UACGUAGGGGGCAAGCGUUGUCCGGAAUCAUUGGGCGUAAAGAGCGUGUAGGUGGCUCGGUAAGUCCGCUGUGAAAGUCCAGGGCUCAACCCUGGAAAGCCGGUGGAAACUGUCGAGCUCGAGUCCGGAAGAGGCGAGUGGAAUUCCUGGUGUAGCGGUGAAAUGCGCAGAUAUCAGGAGGAACACCCAUGGCGAAGGCAGCAAACUGGGCCACAUCUGACGCUGAGGCGCGAAAGCGUGGGUAGCAAACAGG